CUUUAUUUUUAAAUUUUUACUUCCUCUUCAACUGCAUGCCAGAGUAACUGGAGAGACUUUGACAGCCCAGACCAGCACAGUGCCUGCAGCUGCCAUUCAACUUUCCUAUAUAU